ACUUAAAUAGCUUAUAAUAGAGCAUAAUAUUGAAGAUAUUAAGGAAAUAAAAUUA
rnacentral:tRNA from 1 species